UAGAUUCCAACUGGCGCACAGAGAUAAAUUCGACAUGAAUUAUUUUGAAGUGCUGUAAUGAGUUCCAGGCUCCAAACUUUGAAAAAGUGAAUCCCACAUACAAUAGGAUCGUACAUCAACACACUGCUUUAUAAGAAACCUGAUUUUCAGUAUUACUGGACAACAACGUGAAUUUUCGGUGUGGCAGGAACUUUGCCUUAAAGCUGUUAUGGUUAACAAGCAAACGUGCUGUUCAUAAAUCCAGUGCAGUGUUAAAGUGAGAUUAAACUGGGUCUUUGGCAUGCGGACAGGAGAGAGGGAGCGAGGAUGUGAAGAGGUCACAACACACCGCAGCCAGAGUCUUUCCAUAGGAAGUUUCUUUGGGAAAUUAGUUUCUUCACUGGUUAGGGUAAAACCAUCUCCCUGGACUCAGAGGACAACCCUACAACAGCUCCUUGCCUCUGCAGCAAGAGCUCUCCUCUGACACAGGCCAACCACCACCAACCCAUCCCACUCUGGACUAGAGGAAGGAAGGUCAGUCUGUAGCUUCACAUCUACCUCCCCCAGGUGUAAAGCAGCAUCACUGCUUAAAGAAAUGUUUCUGCUGCUGCUCCUCCCUGUCCCUAGGACAGACCCUUCUUUUUGACUUGGAAUCCCUCCUGGUCACAUCAGGGCUCCCCUGCUGAGGCAGCAAAGCCCCUUCCUGCACAAGCAAUGAUGGAUCUGUGUGUGGGCUCAGCCAGGGAACUGCAGGAAAGCCCUGGCACAGCAACACGACCCUGGCACAGCACCACGACGCCUGCCCAGGAAGGCUCAGCAUCUUCUCAACCCAGCUCAGACGGAGGAAAAUUCCACUUUCAGGUUCUGUCCCAUUUCCCCAGCCAUCUGCUACUCCAUUAUUUUAGCAUUACGUAGCACGGAAGCCUAAGACUUUGCUUUGGAAUAUCAAUUGUUAAAUUCUAGGGGAAAAAAAAUACGGAGCCUGAGUUGCAUUAAAUGUGAUUGGUGAGAACUUGCACGGCUGAGAACCCCAUCGAUCUAUUUGCUCUGCGACUCACUGACUGGAUAGAACUCAUUAGAAACAGAUUUAUGAAAGUGACUCAGAAUUUGGAACAAAUUAAAGAUGAGUAACAAAAAAAAGGAACUGAAAAAAUGUGUUCUAUUCAUUUAGAAAUGUGCAGUGCUGACAGCACGGACUGAACCAGCUGAAGAUACAGCCCCGGUCUCCUGAUUUCAAAGCCUUGAUAUUUGUUUCCUUCUGCACCCUCGCUGCUUUACAGUACAACUGCAGAAUAGAGAGAAGACUACGCAUGCAGCUUUAAUUUAAUAAUGCUUAAAGAAGCAUUUGAAACAAGGACGUGAAGCAAUGGCCACGUUACACUGAGCUGAGCAGACAGCUUCCAGCGGUGUGCCAUUUUCAUCAAGACUUCAGUCCCAGACGCGAAGCUGCUGUGACAGAUUAAUGUUUGAAUCAAAGGCCUUCAGAAGUUGCUAGGUGACUGAACUGGAAAAGUCUAACCAAAUAAGAAAAGCACUUCUUGAAGAUGAACUGAAAAGGGAAGCAAACACUAUUUGUUCACCUCAUUGCUGCCUUAGCAUGAAUAAAGAGAGCUUCAGAACUAAACCAUAAGCAUUUACUUGGAAAAUAAAUACCUUCUUUCUUCUUCUUAUUUGGCAUAGCCCUAGAAGGACCUACUAAACAGCAAAGCAUAGUAUUAUGAAUUUGAGAACUUACACCUAUGGAAGUUAGCUUAUAAAAAAAAUUUUCAAAAUUACGCUGUUCUGAAAAAACUCUCUUGCUGUUACUCUUCUACAUAUAACUUGAGUGUGAGCUCAAGCAUACCAUUUUCAGCACAUAUUUGCCUUUAAAAUCCUGGCUAAACUGGGUUAUUAUGGAAAUCGAGACAGACACAUUUGCGGAAUAUAGGUCUGAGAAACAAACCAGGGAGAAGUAUCAGGAAGAAUGUCAUCCCUGGAAGGCCACCAGCAGCACUGCACACGAGCAGGGUACACGGCAGGGGUUGCCCACGCCAGCUUUAGUUAGCAGACUCAUUAGGACACAGAUGGACCAGAAGCAUGAAGAUAAUUUCCAGGUCUUUCCAUGAGAUGAUGCACAAGCCACGUAAUACACUGCUCUACCAUGCCAGGGUACAGAACCCUGACGGGGUAAAAUAAAAGUGGUAGCAGCUUAGCUAAGAGUGUGGUUGUACAUGCAGAACCAACGUUGCAUGGUCCCUACCUGUAAUUCCAUCCAUACAAGAAAUGCUUUUGGCCUGUUUCUAGGAAACUUAAACCACAAAUUUCUCUCUCUCAAAACAAAACAAAAAACAGUAGUCCAGACAAACAAUUUUAGCUGCAGAUAAACCUGAAACGUUUGUCUUGUUCUUAAAACAUUAAGAUUUACAAAAUGUUGUUAGAUUAAAAUAGCAUUUUUUAUCCUUAAGAUAUUAAUUGUGAUUUCAACCAAAGAUGAGGUUCAAAAAACACACUGACAAUUUUUUACUUACACUAAAACUUGAAACACCAUUCUGAAAUAAUAAGAGUUUCCCCACAAGAAUACGCUUCUAAUGUUUGUGAGAUUUAACCUUUUUUCCUGAAUUGCCUUUGUUGUCAUGCCAUCCUUUGUUUCCAAGGUAGCAGGAGCAAACAGGAACGUGUACUGAGCCAGUCUUGGGUGUUUUGUAUGGACUCACGUUAUUCCUCUAACUUCAAUCUGUUCUUUUGUGCAAAAAUGCCAGAGCCGAGUUCAUACAAAACCGGCACACAAGAGUCUCUUCAGAUGGUAAGGGAGUUUAUUUCAGCCAGUCCUAGCUGAUAUUAAAACCAAAGUCACUGAAUCAGAGAAAUAAAACCGCAGUAGAAGGAGUCACAGAACCAAUGGCUCAAAAUUUAUAGAGAAUAACAUUGUGGGAAGUUCCAUAUGGGAAAGCACUCACAUUCUUCUGUGUUCAGCUCCUUCAGCAGCGAUGGCCCUAUAAAUGCAACUCACUGCAUGAAUCCCACCACUUCCGCCAAUAUCCCAAGACAUUCACCGUAACUGAAUUCUCCUUACUGGCAGAAUAUCUGCUGAUUCCUGCCAGCUUUGAACAACCAACCCACUAUCUCUACAUAUGACAAAGAAAACUGAGGCAAACAUUCAAAUCUGACAGCUUGCUGGAGAAGGGUAGAGGAAAUCAAUUAAAAGAGAGAGGCAAAUAUCUUCUCCUCCUCCUCUCCUAUCAUUCAGAAGAGCCACGAUGCACUGUACGUUGAGGCAACAGCCACGUUGAGUCAUCUGGCACCAAAAAGCAAGGCCGAAAGGUUACUGCAAACACCCCUCCUGACCCUGCCUCGAUAGAUGACUUUCAGCAAAAACAAAAUGUUAAUGCAGCACUAAUUUGUCUGCCAACAGUGCUCAGUUCUUUUGCAACCGGGACUUAGAAUAUCUUCUGUAGGGAGGCAAGUAACUGGUUUGCAAGCAUAGAGUUACUCUGUUUUACUCUGAGGUCCUUGUACAAGUUUUAACUUAUCUUGUAAAAAAAAAAAAAAAAAAAGCGUUCAAAAACUCUACAGCCAGCUAAGCAGUGCAAAGACAGCACUAAGUACUUUAUAUUUUUGCAUAUAGACAUUAGCCUUUCCACACACACAAAAAAAAAUAAAAAAUAAAAGAAAAAGAAAAGCAAAAUCAACACUCAUUUAGCUUAUCAGUUCUGAAACCAAAAAGAAAAGGCAUGAUCAGGAAGAGGAGGAAGGAGAAAAAAACGCUGACUUCUGCGCACCACGUUGAUGAGAAAAGCAUUUCCCAAUCCAGGCCUUUGUGCAGAACCACGGAUGUGGUACACGGCACUCUCUAGGAAGUGUGCUCACUUCCACGCAUCUGACAAAUACAAGAGUAUUUAAUCCAAAGAGGCUUACAUGGAACAAUGUAAUUUGAUCCGUUUCUGGAAACCAAAUUCUUCAGAAAAGGAAGCUUAAGAGCAGCUGAACAUCUUCUCCAUUCCCAGGUCCAAUUACAAAGCCGCCCUUCGCUGCUUUUAAAACUCUUCUCCAUUUGUCUAACUGAAUUUGUUUACUUUCCUGUGUCACGCCCCUUAUAUGACACCAUGUUCAUCUUCCCUACGACAUCCCCUCUGUUGGGAAAUUACUGCCUUUCUUCAGAUUUCCAUAGUGAACUGUCUCAGAUUCACUUUGCUUUCAAAACAAAGUUUCAAAUGCUUCUCAACUCCUUUUUUAACUCUCUAAUUAGUUGUGUAACUGAAUGUUUUUAUUCAUAAAGUUUUCUUGUAGUAAUUUCUUCUGUAUUUAACUGUGAAAACAACUUGACAUACAGCUUGAAAGACACCAUGCAAAAUUAAAUUAUUGUGUGUAAUGAGUUAUUGCCUUUGAAUUUCAUUAGAUAGAAAUGUUAUUAAAAAUAACCAAGUUUUCCACGCAUGUUUAGUAUUUACCUAAUUUCAUUGUGGAUGUGGUUUUAAAGAAUUAUACAGGCUGAACUGAUAAUCACAAUACCACAUUCAGUUUGUGUUGCCUCAGAAAACAGAAUCCGUCAACACCAGACAAAGCUGAUUCAGACGGAAGCAGAACGUUAAUUUUGUGUUGCAUUAAUAUGCACAAUCCCCAAAGCACUCGCUUUACUUAAUAUUAAUUAGAAAACAUUAUGUAAGUCUGUUUAAAAUAUUCAAAUCGAGUUUUGUUACAUUUUUAUUUAGAGCUAGAACAUAUGAUCAGCUUAGCUUCACCAAACUACCUAAUUAGCCAUCUGCUUCUUGAAAUUUUGUUAAAUAUGUAUUAUAUAGUUUUAACAAAAGGGUAUUUUAUCAUCUCGUGUAUUCUUCUCUAAUCAUACUAAAGCACAUGACCAAUGAAGUCUUCUCUGUUACACAGAAACAUACCCCAAAGGAAAGAGACUGCCCUUCUUGGAUCCAUCAACGCCAUGGGACAUGAACACAGCUAUUGGGAAACCAGGCAAGAAUACCUCAAACAACUUGCAGCAACUUUUUUUGAAAGCCAGGAAGGAAUAUUAACCAGCUACGAAACACCACCACCACCACAAAAACAUGCAAACAAACAAAAAAUACACAAAAAAUUCCACCAAACAAGAAAUCAAAGAAAAAAACAAAAACACACAACUCUCACACAAACCCAACCCAUAGUCUUUUGCUCAAUAAAAAUGUCCAUAUCA